rnacentral:rRNA from 1 species
AUUGAACGCUGGCGGCAUGCCUUACGCAUGCAAGUCGAACGGCAGCACGGGGCAACCUGGUGGCGAGUGGCGAACGGGUGAGUAAUGCAUCGGAACGUACCUUUCAGUGGGGGAUAACGUAGCGAAAGUUACGCUAAUACCGCAUAUUCUGUGAGCAGGAAAGUGGGGGAUCACAAGACCUCGCGCUUCCGGAGCGGCCGAUGUCGGAUUAGCUAGUUGGCGGGGUAAAGGCCCACCAAGGCAACGAUCCGUAGCGGGUCUGAGAGGAUGAGCCGCCACACGGGGCCUGAGACACGGCCCAGACUCCUACGGGAGGCAGCAGUGGGGAAUUUUGGACAAUGGGGGCAACCCUGAUCCAGCCAUGCCGCGUGAGUGAAGAAGGCCUUCGGGUUGUAAAGCUCUUUCGGCCGGGAAGAAAUCGCACAGGUUAAUACCUUGUGUGGAUGACGGUACCGGAAUAAGAAGCACCGGCUAACUACGUGCCAGCCGCCGCAGUAACAC